UAUGAUCCCUAUGACGAGUUGGAUUUUAACCUGGAAGGUUUGGAAGGUGAACUGCACCCUGAUGUUGAAUAAGCAAAGAACGACGAAUCCCUCACAACAUCCUGCCGCUCUCCAACACCUGGUCUUCAGCACCACCGGUGUCAUCACAAUCAUCUUCCUUACAACGACAAUCUAUAGCGUUGCAGCAUUAAAACCAAAUUAGGCAUUGUGUCACAGUAAUGGGAUAAAGUAAAAGCUUUAAGAUGAAACAAAAUGUUUGUCUCUGUGUCAAUGCUAGCAUUUUUCUGUGCCUUUCAUCUCAGCUAUUUAUUAAUCCAUACAAAACCCUACAAAUGAGCAUUUCCUGUAUCUCUACUGUGUUGUGAUUCCCCAAAAUGCUGACAUUAAUAAAAAGUGCAUUAUAAAAGG